CCUGAUCCAGCCAUGCCGCGUGUAUGAAGAAGGCCUUAGGGUUGUAAAGUACUUUUGUUAGGGAAGAAAAGCUAGUUUUUAAUAAAAAUUAGUGAUGACGGUACCUAAAGAAUAAGCACCGGCUAACUACGUGCCAGCAGCCGCGGUAAUACGUAGGGUGCAAGCGUUAAUCGGAAUUAUUGGGCGUAAAGCGAGUGCAGACGGUUACUUAAGCCAGAUGUGAAAUCCCCAAGCUUAACUUGGGACGUGCAUUUGGAACUGGGUGACUAGAGUGUGUCAGAGGGAGGUAGAAUUCCACAUGUAGCGGUGGAAUGCGUAGAGAUGUGGAGGAAUACCGAUGGCGAAGGCAGCUUCCUGGGAUAACACUGACGUUGAGGCUCGAAAGCGUGGGGAGCAAACAGGAUUAGAUACCCUGGUAGUCCACGCCCUAAACGAUGACAAUUAGCUGUUGGGCUUUGAAAGGCUUAGUAGCGAAGCUAACGCGAGAAAUUGUCCGCCUGGGGAGUACGGUCGCAAGAUUAAAACUCAAAGGAAUUGACGGGGACCCGCACAAGCGGUGGAUGAUGUGGAUUAAUUCGAUGCAACGCGAAGAACCUUACCUGGUCUUGGCAUGUCGGAAUUUUUAAAAUAAAAAAGUGCCUUCG
rnacentral:rRNA from 1 species